CCCUUAGAUGUUCUGGGCCGCACACGCGCUACACUGAAGGAGGCAGCGUGUACUCCUGGAUCGAAAGAUUUGGGUAACCCGCGAAUCUCCUUCGUGCUAGGGAUUGAGGUUUGCAAUUAUCCUUCAUGAACGAGGAAUUCCCAGUAAGUGCAAGUCAUAAGCUUGCGCUGACUGCGUCCCUGCCCUUUGUACACACCGCCCGUCGCUACUACCGAUUGAAUGAUUUAGUGAGGACUUCGGACUGGGACCGAUGCGGCUUUCGGGCUGCGUCGGUAUUCUGGAAAGAUGUCCAAACUGUAUCAUUUAGAGGAAGUAAAANUCGUAACA
rnacentral:rRNA from 1 species